rnacentral:rRNA from 1 species
AACGAACGCUGGCGGCAUGCCUAACACAUGCAAGUCGAACGAGACCUUCGGGUCUAGUGGCGCCCGGGUGCGUAACGCGUGGGAACCUGCCCUUAGGGUCGGAAUAACUCCCCGAAAGGGGUGCUAAUACCGGAUAAUGUCUUCGGACCAAAGAUUUAUCGCCUUUGGAUGGGCCCGCGUUGGAUUAGCUAGUUGGUAGGGUAAAAGCCUACCAAGGCGACGAUCCAUAGCUUGGCUGAGAGGAUGGUCAGCCACACUGGGACUGAGACACGGCCCAGACUCCUACGGGAGGCAGCAGUGGGGAAUAUUGGACCAUGGGCGAAAGCCUGAUCCAGCAAUGCCGCGUGAGUGAUGAAGGCCUUAGGGUUGUAAAGCUCUUUUAACCGGGAUGAUAAUGACAGUACCGGGAGAAUAAGCCCCGGCUAACUCCGUG